AGUGAGCGCUGGCGGUAGGCCUAACACAUGCAAGUCGAACGGCAGCACAGUAAGAGCUUGCUCUUACGGGUGGCGAGUGGCGGACGGGUGAGGAAUACAUCGGAAUCUACUUUUUCGUGGGGGAUAACGUAGGGAAACUUACGCUAAUACCGCAUACGACCUACGGGUGAAAGCAGGGGAUCUUCGGACCUUGCGCGAUUGAAUGAGCCGAUGUCGGAUUAGCUAGUUGGCGGGGUAAAGGCCCACCAAGGCGACGAUCCGUAGCUGGUCUGAGAGGAUGAUCAGCCACACUGGAACUGAGAAACGGUCCAGACUCCUACGGGAGGCAGCAGUGGGGAAUAUUGGACAAUGGGCGAAAGCCUGAUCCAGCCAUACCGCGUGGGUGAAGAAGGCCUUCGGGUUGUAAAGCCCUUUUGUUGGGAAAGAAAAGCAGCAGGUUAAUACCCCGCUGUUCUGACGGUACCCAAAGAAUAAGCACCGGCUAACUUCGU
rnacentral:rRNA from 1 species